AUUGAACGCUGGCGGCAGGCUUAACACGUGCAAGUCGAGCGGAGUGAUGGUGCUUGCACUAUCACUUAGCGGCGGACGGGCGAGUAAUGCUUAGGAAUCUGCCUAUUAGUGGGGGACAACAUCUCGAAAGGGAUGCUAAUACCGCAUACGUCCUACGGGAGAAAGCAGGGGAUCACUUGUGACCUUGCGCUAAUAGAUGAGCCUAAGUCGGAUUAGCUAGUUGGUGGGGUAAAGGCCUACCAAGGCGACGAUCUGUAGCGGGUCUGAGAGGAUGAUCCGCCACACUGGGACUGAGACACGGCCCAGACUCCUACGGGAGGCAGCAGUGGGGAAUAUUGGACAAUGGGGGGAACCCUGAUCCAGCCAUGCCGCGUGUGUGAAGAAGGCCUUAUGGUUGUAAAGCACUUUAAGCGAGGAGGAGGCUCUUUUGGUUAAUACCCAAGAUGAGUGGACGUUACUCGCAGAAUAAGCACCGGCUAACUCUGUGCCAGCCGCCGCAGUAA
rnacentral:rRNA from 1 species